AGAGCGAACGCUGGCGGCAGGCUUAACACAUGCAAGUCGAGCGGGCGUAGCAAUACGUCAGCGGCAGACGGGUGAGUAACGCGUGGGAACGUACCUUUUGGUUCGGAACAACACAGGGAAACUUGUGCUAAUACCGGAUAAGCCCUUACGGGGAAAGAUUUAUCGCCGAAAGAUCGGCCCGCGUCUGAUUAGCUAGUUGGUGAGGUAACGGCUCACCAAGGCGACGAUCAGUAGCUGGUCUGAGAGGAUGAUCAGCCACAUUGGGACUGAGACACGGCCCAAACUCCUACGGGAGGCAGCAGUGGGGAAUAUUGGACAAUGGGCGCAAGCCUGAUCCAGCCAUGCCGCGUGAGUGAUGAAGGCCCUAGGGUUGUAAAGCUCUUUUGUGCGGGAAGAUAAUGACGGUACCGCAAGAAUAACGCCCCGGCUAACUUCGUGCCAGCAGCCGC
rnacentral:rRNA from 1 species